UAUCUGGUUGAUCCUGCCAGUAGUCAUAUGCUUGUCUCAAAGAUUAAGCCAUGCAUGUCUGAGUACAGACCGAUCUAAGGUGAAACCGCGAAUGGCUCAUUAAGUCAGUCAUAAUUCCUUGGAUAGUGAAAAACCUUCCUCGGAUAACUGUGGAAAAUCCAGAGCUAAUACGUGCAACUGAGCUCCGACCCCGACGCAAGUCGAGGGAAGAGCGCAUUUAUUAGAUUCAAAAACUGACCGGCGUACUCCCGAGGGAUGCUGCGCCGCUUGUCAAACUUGAUGACUCCGGAUAACUUAGCCGAGCGCUACGGUCUCCGUACCGGCGCCGUAUCUUUCAAGUGUCUGCCUUAUCAGCUUUCGAUUGUAGGUUAAACGCCUACAAUGGCUGUAACGGGUAACGGGGAAUCAGGGUUCGAUUCCGGAGAGGGAGCCUGAGAAACGGCUACCACAUCUAAGGAAGGCAGCAGGCACGCAACAUUACGCCACUCCUCAGCCCGGGGAGGUAGUGACGAAAAAUAACGAGUGCGAGACUCUUCCGAGGCCUCGCAAUCGGAAUGAGUCCAUUCUAAAUCCUUGGACGAGGGAUCCAUUGGAGGGCAAGUCUGGUGCCAGCAGCCGCGGUAAUUCCAGCUCCAAUAGCGUAUAUUAAAGUUGCUGCGGUUAAAAAGCUCGUAGUUGGAAUCUCCUAGAUCCAAUUCGCGGUCGGGUCGCUCUUUGUACGCGCGUCCUAUGCGGUCUCUUGGAGGUGGCCCUAAUGUCUCUCGCUCGGCUCCUUUUCGCUUCGAGGUAGUCUCGCGCUCCUUCUUUCUCGUUUUCGCCGACGCGUCAAUGGGUUUGAGGGGCCGAGGAGCGCCGAAAUUCGAUUUGGUCUCGUCGAUGUCGUAGCAGUCUCGGUGUCUAUCCUUCUUGUGGACGGUAGGGCGUAGUCUUCGAGUAUAGCCCGUCCGCGAUUGGUACAAUUAAAAUUUUGUCGGCUCGCUCGGAGUGCUCUUUGCCGAGUGUUCCAGGGUGGCCGACACGUUCACUUUGAAAAAAUUAGAGUGCUUAAAGCGGGCCGAAAAGUCGCCUGAAUGUUGUUGCAUGGAAUGAAGGAACAGGACCUCGGUUCUGUUCUUUUUGUCGGUUUUAUUGAACCGAGGUAAUGAUUAAAAGGAACAGACGGUGGCAUUAGUAUUACGACGCUAGAGGUGAAAUUCUUGGACCGUCGUAAGACUAACUACUGCGAAAGCAUUUUGCCGAGAAUGUUUUCAUUAAUCAAGAACGAAAGUUAGAGGAUCGAAGGCGAUCAGAUACCGCCCUAGUUCUAACCCUAAACUAUGCUAACUAGCGAUCCGCCGGAGUCAUUCCCACGACCCGGCGGGAAGUCCCCAGGGAAACCAAAGUCUUUGAGUUCCGGGGGAAGUAUGGUUGCAAAGCUGAAACUUAAAGGAAUUGACGGAAGGGCACCACCAGGAGUGGAGCCUGCGGCUUAAUUUGACUCAACACGGGAAACCUCACCAGGCCCGGACAUCAAAAGGAUUGACAGAUUGAGAGCUCUUUCUCGAUUCGAUGGGUGGUGGUGCAUGGCCGUUCUUAGUUGGUGGAGUGAUCUGUCUGGUUGAUUCCGAUAACGAACGAGACUCUACCCUACUAACUAGUCGGCGGAUCGUAACCCUGAGAUGGGGGGAGCCGAAGCGUGCUAAAGCGUUCGCUUUUUCGCUCUCGUGGGUUGGCGAGGUCGGGCGUUUCUCUCUCGGGAGUGCGUUCGGCUUUGUCGCUCGUGGGUGGCGUGGAGCGUUUCGCCCGUAUCGUCUAGGUGACUCUUACUGGGGGCGUCCGUCGCAAUGUAUCUUCUUAGAGGGAUCAGCGGCGUCUAGCNACGAGAAAGUGCAAUAACAGGUCUGUGAUGCCCUUAGAUGUUCUGGGCCGCACGCGCGCUACAAUGUAGGGCUCAGCGUGCCUUCCCUCUCCGAAAGGAGCGGGUAACCCGUUGAAACCCCUACCCGAUUGGGAUUGGGGAUUGCAAAUGUUUCCCAUAAACGAGGAAUUCCCAGUAAGCGCGAGUCGUUAACUCGCGCUGAUUACGUCCCUGCCCUUUGUACACACCGCCCGUCGCUACUACCGAUUGAAUGAUUCGGUGAGGGCAUCGGACUGGCGCCUUCGGUUGCGAUACACCUUAGGCUGACGGAAAGAUGUCCGAACUGGAUCAUUUAGAGGAAGUAAAAGUCGUAACAAGGUUUCCGUAGUGAAACCUGCGGAAGGAUCAUUA
rnacentral:rRNA from 1 species